rnacentral:tRNA from 1 species
GCCUGCGUGGCUCAGUCAGUUAAGCAUCUGACUUCGGCUCAGGUCACGAUCUCGCGGUUCGUGGGUUCGAGCCCCGCGUCGGGCU